ensembl:snRNA U6 U6 spliceosomal RNA
GUGCUCACUUUGGCAGCGUAUAUACUAAAAUUGGAAUGAUACAGAGAUUAGCAUGGCCCCUGUGCAAGGAUGAUGUGUAAAUUCAUGAAGCAUUCCAUGCUUUU